rnacentral:rRNA from 1 species
UACGUAGGUGGCGAGCGUUGUCCGGAAUUAUUGGGCGUAAAGGGCGCGUAGGUGGUUUUUUAAGUCAGAUGUGAAAACUUAAGGCUUAACUUUAAGAUUGCAUUUGAAACUGGAAGACUUGAGGACAGGAGAGGAAAGCGGAAUUCCCAGUGUAGCGGUGAAAUGCGUAGAGAUUGGGAAGAACACCAGUGGCGAAGGCGGCUUUCUGGACUGCCCCUGACACUGAUGCGCGAAAGCUAGGGGAG